GAUCAUUAUUGAAACAUUGUAAAGGAGAGUUGAGCUGGUCCUUCGAGGGCAAGUGCUCGCUGUUCUUUCAAUCUUCAUCCACCUGUGCACUUUUUGUAGAGAGUCUGAGAAACUGGAGCUUUUUAAGUAAGGUUCUAGAUAUUGGGCUCUUUAUGUUUUUAUACACACUAAUUGUAUGUUUGUGAAUGUCUUUAACAAGGGACUUAACUGGACCUUUUAAAAACUAUACAACUUUCAGCAACGGAUCUCUUGGCUCUCGCAUCGAUGAAGAACGCAGCGAAAUGCGAUAAGUAAUGUGAAUUGCAGAAUUCAGUGAAUCAUCGAAUCUUUGAACGCACCUUGCGCCUCUUGGUAUUCCGAGAGGCAUGCCUGUUUGAGUGUCAUUAAAUUCUCAACCUCAAAGACUUAUUGUUGAUGAGGCUUGGAUGUGGAGGCUUUGUUGGCUCAUUUAGAGUCGGCUCCUCUUAAGUGCAUUAGUGGGAACUGUUUUGUAGUCCGCAUUGGUGUGAUAAUUAUCAGCGCUAUUGUUGGCUAUGAGCUCAUGUGGUGUUCGUAUGGAAAGUGCAUGAAAGUGCUCUCUCUGCUUCACUUUGACUUACAUGAGUAAAGUAUCUGCUUCAAACUGUCCUAAGUUAUUGGACAAACACUUGAUUAUUUUGACCUCAAAUCAGGUAGGACUACCCGCUGAACUUAAGCAUAUCAAUAAGCGGAGGAAAAGAAACUAACAAGGAUUCCCCUAGUAACUGCGAGUGAGGAGGGAAAAGCUCAAAUUUAAAAUCUGGCAGCUUCGCUGUCCGAGUUGUAAUUUAGAGAAGUGUUACCCGCGUUGGACCGUGUAUAAGUCUCCUGGAAUGGAGCGUCAUAGAGGGUGAGAAUCCCGUCUUUGACACGGACUACCAAAGCACUGUGGUGCGCUCUCGAAGAGUCGAGUUGUUUGGGAAUGCAGCUCUAAAUGGGUGGUAAAUUCCAUCUAAAGCUAAAUAUUGGCGAGAGACCGAUAGCGAACAAGUACCGUGAGGGAAAGAUGAAAAGAACUUUGGAAAGAGAGUUAAACAGUACGUGAAAUUGCUGAAAGGGAAACGCUUGAAGUCAGUCGCGUUGGCCGGGGAUCAGCCUUGCUUUUGUGAGGUGUACUUCCUGGUCAACGGGUCAGCAUCAGUUUCGACCAUUGGAGAAAGGCUUGGGGAAUGUGGCACCUCCGGGUGUGCUAUAGCCCCUUGUUGUAUACAGUGGUUGGGACUGAGGAACUCAGCACGCCGAAAGGCCGGGUU
rnacentral:rRNA from 1 species